GGAGGAAAAGAAACUAACAAGGAUUCCCUAGUAACGGCGAGUGAAGCGGGAAAAGCUCAAAUUUGAAAUCUGGCAGCCUCAGGUUGCCCGAGUUGUAAUCUAUAGAAACGUUUUCCGCGCUGGCCCAUGUACAAGUCUCCUGGAAUGGAGCGUCAUAGAGGGUGAGAAUCCCGUCCUUGACAUGGACUACCAGUGCUUUGUGAUACGUUUUCAAAGAGUCGAGUUGUUUGGGAAUGCAGCUCAAAAUGGGUGGUAAAUUCCAUCUAAAGCUAAAUAUUGGCGAGAGACCGAUAGCGAACAAGUACCGUGAGGGAAAGAUGAAAAGCACUUUGGAAAGAGAGUUAAACAGUAUGUGAAAUUGUUGAAAGGGAAACGAUUGAAGUCAGUCAUGUCUAUUGGACUCAGCCGGUUCUGCCGGUGUACUUCCUUUAGAUGGGGUCAACAUCAGUUUUGAUCGCUGGAAAAGGGCAGGAGGAAUGUAGCACUCUCGGGUGAACUUAUAGCCUUCUGUCGUAUACAGUGGUUGGGACUGAGGAACGCAGCAUGCCUUUAUGGCCGGGGUUCGCCCACGUACAUGCUUAGGAUGUUGACAUAAUGGC
rnacentral:rRNA from 1 species